AUUGAACGCUGGCGGCAGGCUUAACACAUGCCAGUCGAGCGGUAACAGAGAGAAGCUUGCUUCUCUGCUGACGAGCGGCGGACGGGUGAGUAAUGCCUAGGAAUCUGCCUAGUAGUGGGGGAUAACUUGCCGAAAGGUAAGCUAAUACCGCAUACGUCCUACGGGAGAAAGGAGGGGACCUUCGGGCCUUUCGCUAUUAGAUGAGCCUAGGUCGGAUUAGUUAGUUGGUGAGGUAAUGGCUCACCAAGACCGCGAUCCGUAACUGGUCUGAGAGGAUGAUCAGUCACACUGGAACUGAGACACGGUCCAGACUCCUACGGGAGGCAGCAGUGGGGAAUAUUGGGCAAUGGGGGGGAAACCUGAUCCAGCCAUGCCGCGUGUGUGAAGAAGGUCUUAGGAUUGUAAAGCACUUUAAGUUGGGAGGAAGAGCAGUUAACUAAUAUUUGACUGUUUUGACGUUACCGACAGAAUAAGCACCGGCUAACUUCGUG
rnacentral:rRNA from 1 species